AAAACUUAUACUGCUUCGUGCCGCUUUACAAAUUUAUAGUUUCAACGGUAGGCGAAAUUUGAAAAUACGGCUUGGCUUUUGACACAAUCCCUUACACAGACUUAAAACAUAUUCGUCCAUAAAUUAUUAUUGGACUUGUGUUUAUAAUGUAAAUUUGUGUAAAUGUAUAAAUGUAAAUAUUAUAUAUGUAGUUAUACCUUAAAUUAGUUUCAUAUUAUCUUAUAAUUAUAUUCAACUAAUAUUCAUCAUUAUUACUUAUAAUUCAUGUAUAAUAUAUUUCUUAUAACGUAUAUGAGAUUCAUAUUUUAGUAUUAUAUCAUAAAAGUUUAUUAUUAAAAAUAAGGGGCUAAGCUUGAUCUUCAUUGGAACAAGAAUAUUAUCAUUAUAAGACUUGGCUUCGGCCUUUCAUGCGAACCUAUAUGUAUAUGAAGAAAAUGAAACAUGAAGAACACGAAAUACUACUUUUAUGGGAAAUUGUACUAUUUAUGUUUGAAGAUGAAGAUGAUAUAAAGACUUAGCUUGACUUUGAACAAGCUGUGUAAAGUGAAGAAUAGAAAAAUAAAAAUGAAGACUUGGCUGUAUGGGCUUUUGACCCCUUUGCCUGUCCAGAUGGACGAACAGAACCAAAAAAAAAUGUUUAUUAUUUUCUAAGCCGCCAUCGCUUUGCUUAUUGUUGUUGUUUGGUGUUCGUUGCGUGUUGAGUAUAUAGUUUAAACUGAUUUCAGUUUAUUUCCUUUCUUGAUCAACUUUGACUUUUUGGCUUGUUUCUGGACUCCGAUUAUCUCCGUUUUAUAUAUUCUGACCUUGACUUCGUUUGGAUUCCGACAUUUAUCGUUUUAUUGUUGACCUGGCUUAAUCACUGGACCUUCCGAUUUUUGCUUGCUUUGCUUACUAAAUUGAGUACAAUGGCUGCAGAUAGAAAAUGUUGUAUUCCAGGAUGUGAUAACACUCGUAAGAGUAGUGUCUUGCAUAAAUUUCCAAAUCCUCAAAAUGACUGCAAAUGUUUCCGGACAUGGACUUUUUCCAUUGGAGGAAAUAUAUUUGCCCUAGAUGAUGUAUAUAAUUAUCGCAGAGUAUGUCACUUGCAUUUUGAAGAAAGAUAUUGGACCAGAAGUAAAAUGCUGAGCAAGAAUGCAGUGCCCACUCUAUAUGUAAAAGGUUUUGUAGUUCGGAAACCUUUGGCUGAUACAAUGAAAAAAAAAUUAUAAUAUGGUUGAGUGUAAUCUAGAAUCUACUCCAGCAUCAACAUCUGGAUCCGUCCCAGUUGCAAUAAAUUUGCAAGCUACAUCCUCCCGAAUAGAUGUGAAAAGUAGGCAUCACAAAAUAACUUCAUCUUCAUUUAAAGUUAAUUGUCUACAAAAAAAGAUUGAGAAACUUACAACAAAAUAUGAAAAAUAUGCUUUAAAAAUCAAGAAAGCAUUAAAACUUAAAAUAAGACAUUUCAAGACACAUAAAAAAAAAUUACUCGUUUAGCUGCCAUUUUCACUGCUUUACAGUUUAGGGAAAUAAGAAAAGAAAAGAUGGGUAGAACAUUUACAGAGGAAUAAAAAAUAAUGACACUAUCCAUUUAUAAGCUAGGCCCUCGAUGUUACAGAUUUAAAAAAAAUAUAUUUAUAUUACCUAAUGGUGCAAUCACGAAAAGAUUCCGAAGAUGAAACUAAAACUGUCACAGAUUUUUAGCCAGACUGUUGGGAUGACUAUGGGUUUCCUAGCAGAAAAAGGAUUAUUGCCUGCUAAUUGUCAAGAAACAGCAGAUAUCAUAAUAUUUUUUGAUGAAUUAUUUGACUCAACGAAUGGUAGUUACAUAAAUUCAUCAAAAAGAAGUGGAAACCAUUAUUGCAAACAUUAAAACCAAAUUCACUACACAAUCAAAUUUGGACUAAGGCUAAACAAAUUUUAAAAUCAAUGAAAUUCACUUCUAAGAAUGGAAAAGUUUGUGUAGUGCCAACCUUAUCUAAUUGGUUGCAUACAAUUGAAAAUAUGGAUUGCCUAUGUAAUAAAUUGUUCAAUGAAUACAAUUUCAAGUCAAUAUGGUGUAGAUAUUUCAAUCAGGAAAAUUUUUUUUGGUAGAAUCAGUAGUCAUGGCUACCGAAACAAUUCUCCCACAUGUGCGGGCUUUGAAGCAGCGUUCACAUCAUUACUUGUUAAUAAUUUAAGCAGCAGUUACUCGCCAGAAUCUAAUUGUGAAGAGGAUUCCUGACAUGUACUUAAUUGUAUAAGGAAUUUAUUUUUCACACAAACUUCUAAUAAUAGUAAUCCUUCAGAUAUUGAAUUCAACCAUUUAAUUAAUGAUGAUUUUAUAGUUGAUUUAAAAAUCCAAAAGAGAGACCCACAAAUUAUUGCAGCCUUACAAUAUGUAACAGGGUACAUUUUGCGGCAAUGCCAUAUAAAAUUAUUUAAAUGCCAUAUAAAAUUAUUUAAAUGCCAUAUAAAAUUAUUUAAAAGUUGCACAUAUUGUGCAAAGAAAAUUUGUAUGAUAAAGAGAACUCCACUGAAUAUUUAAAAGUACAAGACUUCAAUCAAAAUAAGGCAUAUCCAACUUAUCCUUUGGAAGAGUUAGUGAAUACUUUUUCAAUAAUUCAAGAUAUAGUGCAUCAUAUAAUAAAAACAAAUUCAUCAAUGGAUAACAUUCAAAAUUAUAUUAAAGUUAUUUUGCAUGCAAGGAUAAAGAAUGGUUAUUUAAAAUACAAAGAGCAUAGUACCAAAUUGACUGACAAUAAAAUACUUCGAGGAGCAAUUUCGACGCACGAUAAGGAGGAUAUAAUGCAAACAUUCGCUGUACAGUAUGACAAUAAAAGAAGAAGGAAAUAA